rnacentral:rRNA from 1 species
AACGAACGCUGGCGGCGUGCCUAACACAUGCAAGUCGAGCGAGAAAAGGGGAGCAAUCCCCUGAGUACAGCGGCGCACGGGUGAGUAACACGUAGGUGAUCUCCCUUCGAGCCCGGAAUAACCUACUGAAAGGUGGGCUAAUACCGGAUAUGACCGACGGGAGUUUUCGGCUCCUGCGGUGAAAGAUGGCCUCUACCUGUAAGCUAUCACUCAAGGAUGAGCCUGCGUGCCAUUAGCUAGUUGGUGAGGUAACGCUCACCAAGGCGAUGAUGGCUAGCUGGUCUGAGAGGACGACCAGCCACAC